AGAGAGAGAGAGAGAGAGAGAGAGAGAGAGAGAGAGAGAAUGGCGAGCGUGCCAAAAUAAAUGCAUGAGAAUGUAUGUAUAUGUGAGAGUGAGAACAUGUUAGAUAUAUAUACGUAGUAAAAUAGACGAGCCUCUUGCUCCAAAAAAGGACACAUUUUCGAUAUACACACCGAUGUGUGUGUGUAUGUGUAUUCAAAAAGUGUGUGUGUGUGUGUGUGCUUGUGUGCGAUGCGUGCGCGCGCGCGUGUGAUCGAUAACGAAUAAAAGUUACGAGCAAAGGACGCGUCCUUUCAAACACUCCGUCGAGAUAUAUUCAAGAUGAUAAAAAUAACAAAAAAUAAAAAACAAAGAAAGAAAGAAGGAAAGAAAUAAAAAUUUAAAGAGAUUCUUUAUAAAAAGCGAACGUUCGCUUUAGAAAAAAAUAUCAUUUUGCUUGCGUCUUAGCGUCAUUUUUUUCCUCUUCUUUUUUUCUUUUUUUUUGUUUUUAUUUAAAUGUAACGUAUCAAAUUGCGCUUAAGAAACAAAGAGCCUGUUAAAAUUUCGCUUACUUUUUUCGAUGCUUCGGAGGAAAAAAAAGAAAAGAAAAUUAAGAAAGACAACGGAGAAGAAAAUAUAUUGGCACGUGUGUAGCAUUAAAAUAAAUUAUAUAGACCCAAUGUACAUCAAUGUUUUAAUUAUCGUAGAAAAAAACAGAAAGAGAUAAGACGAAGGACUAAUCCGUCUAUGUCCGUGUGUCAAACGAAAAUUUUCAUUAAAAAAAGAACAACAAUAAUAAUAAUAAUAACAAUAAUUACGUUCGUCGUCGUCGUCGUCGUCGUCGUCGUCGUAGUUCGUUGACAAAAAAAAAAUAAUAAAAAUUAAAAAAGAAAAAAAAAAGAAGUUAACGAACGUUCGAUCGGUUCUCGUUUUAGCCGAGAUACGUUGAACUAAAACGAUGAUACGUAUAGUAGCAAAGGUCAAUGAACUUUCGAAUCAACGUCGACGAAGAACGCGUAGAAUCCUUUUAAACAAAAGGAGAAAGACGCUUGUUGCCAAUAUUUUUUCUUCUUUUAUCUUCUCUCUGUAAAUUUUUUUUUUUUUAACUUCAUUUUGAAGCGGGUCCAGUUAACAAAAAUUCUUAUUAUAUCGAGAGUGUGAGAGAGAGGGGGGACAUUCCUCUUUCUUGAACGUUUAAAAAAAAAACAAAAAAAACAACGUUAUGUUAGACGUAACACUUGUUCUAAGUUUGUAUCCAAUUAUAAGUUACAUUUGUAUAUGCCCAUUAUCGCUGUACAGAGCAUCGUUUUUAUGUUAUUUAAGCCGAACAGAGACACAUCUAUACAUACACACACACGCAAACACACACAGAAACAAACCAAACACUUUGAUAUGCUUUAAAGAAAAAGACAAGAACGAGAAAUAUGAACAAGAAAUCGCGAUUGUCGUCUUUGAUAAUUUGAAAGUUGUUAAUAAGUUCAAAGACAUCGAAAAAAAAAGAAAAUUAGAAAAAGAAAAAAAAAACAAAAAGACAAAUUGCAUAAAAAUGAUAAGAAUGAAGUUGCAAAUCAUUCUCUUAGAAACACGAUAAUAAAAUAAACUAGAUGACAAUCGCGGUGUAAAAAUCAGAAAAAUGUGGGUGGAAAAAAAAUAUGAAAAAGAUUUUGAGAGAACGUCUUGCUAAAAAUGAAUAAACGAGAAUUAUAUCUUUUAAGAUGAUAGUUGUAUACAUUUAGGAUUAAGUGAUAUCGAGUCGCGAUCUCUGUGAUGAUGAUUUUUUGCCCUCUUGGACGUCCAAAAUUUGUAUCGGCCGAUUGGACCGAUCUUUGGACGUAAUUGCAAUUGCUAUCAAAUUAAUAACAAUUACAACAACAUCAACAAAACACAAUAGGGUACUUAAGGAUAGAAUUAUUAUAAUCUACAUAUGUAUAUAUAUAUAUAUAUAUAUGUAUGUAUGUAUGUAUGUAUGCAUAUAUAUAUACAUUAAAUCGUACUAAGGGUGCUCGUUUACACGAGAAAGAGAAAAAGAGAAAGAGAGAGAGACAGAGAGAGAGAGAGAGAGAAAGGGAGGCGAAAAAGAUAAAGAUAAUAAUAAUGAUAAUGAUAAUGAAAGAAAUAUGAACAGAGCGUGUAAUAAUAGUAAUAACGACGAACAAAGCGAUAAAAACCGUGAUCGUGUUUUAUGCUAACGACGAUGAUGAUGAUUUCUAGAAAUCAUGAUAAAUUGUAAUAGCGUUAAACGAUAAUAAUUGUAUAUAUAUAUAUAAUGAAAUAAAAUGCGCGAGAAAAGUAGAGAUAUGAAGGAAGAAGAUAGACGAAAGAAGAUAAAGAUAAUUGUACGACUAAGAGAAAAUGAAUGAAUGAAUGAAUGAAUGAAUGAGUGAAAAAAAGAAAGAGAAUAUUUUGCUACUGGUGGUCGAAGAAAAUGUAAAAGAAAAGGCUACGUUUUGUCAAAUCGAAAGAAGAUAUCUCUGGCCACUUCUUUGCAAACAGGGUUUCUCUGUCACGACCCCAUGGCUUUUCUCUGAGGAUUCGACAAGAGAAUGCCCGAGAGAGAAAGAAGUACAUAUGUAAUAUGUGUGUGUGUAUGUGUGUAUGAAAGAGAGAGAGAGAGAGAGAGAGAGAGAGAGAGAGAGAGAGAGAGAGAGAGAGAGAGAGAGAAGAUGGAAUGACGAUGCGUGGGAGUCGAACUCGAAGCAGCCCCACUUUUCGAUAUAAAAGAGUCAGUGUUAAGAGAAAAGAGAAGAGGACGAAGAGAUGAACAAAGAAGAUGGAGGAAGAGAAGCAGGAGGAGGAGAAGAAGAAAAAGAGGUGGAAGAAGGGUGGCAAGAAGAGAAGGAGUGAGAGUGAGAGAGAGACAGAAACUCGUCGAUAAACGCGCAAACGCGAGAUCCUUUGUCUAUACUAUCCUGCGACGAAGUGAUGGAGAGAUGAAAGAUGAUUUUAUUAUCGGAAGAAGAAUGAGAUGAGGAGGAGAAGGAUGAGGUGGAGGAGAGGAGGGCGUAGAAGGAGGAGAGGAUCGCGUGUUGCGCUAGGACGAGGAAAGAAGAAAUGAUUAUUCUUUUUCUUCGAUAGGAGGAAGGAUCGCCACCUUUCUACGCGCAUCCCGUUGUUUUCGUCGCAAAACAAUCGUCUCGCGUUUGCGCGCUAUCACUACCACCGCUACCAUCGCCGCCAAUAUAACACAAUCAACAAUAAUAAUACAUAUAACAGCACAAUGACGACGAUGUGUGUAUAUCAUGAGAAAAAGAAGAAAAGGAGGAUGAGGUAGAGGUGGAGGGGAAAAUGCUUUAUACAGUUCGACGUCCUUUCGAAUUGCGUGUAUGAUAAGAGAAGUUGUUUUUUCACUCAAAAAAAUUUUCGUUCCCGUUCAUUCGUUUUGUCCUCUUUUCUAUGAGGGGAAAAUAAUUAAUAAAAGAGGAAACGAGGAUGAAAGUAAUGACCGGAGGAUGAAGAAACGAGAAGAACUUUGAAUCGUCAUCGAAAUGACGAUUAUCUUUUUUCGAGGGAAGAGAUUCUUUUAAUCCUGUUAAAAUGUAUGAUAGAAGAAAAAGAAGAAGAAGAAGAAGGAAGAUGAGAUUCUGAAUUAGUAUUAGGAAUAAAAGCGAAUGGAUCUUUUCUGGACACACCGGAGAGAAGAUCUGUAUUAUCGCCAGGAGAAGAAGAGUAAGAAUGUAAAAGUAGAAAGAGAGAAAGAGAGAGAGAGAGAGAGAGAAAAAGAGAGAGAGAAAGAGAUCAGUCCAGUCCAGGAAAAGCGGAGUAGCAAACAUAUAUAAAAAAAGCUCUCCGCCGAGCUCUUCGUCCAUGUUUUUUAAUGGAAUGUACGAUAUAUGUAUUAAUGCAUAUAUGAACUGAUAUGUGUACUACGUAUAUCGGGUUUUUAAAGAGAAAAAACAGAGAGAGAGAGAGAGAGAGAGAGAGAGAAAGGAAAAUGUUAAGAUAAAAACAUGGAGAAUAGUUAAAUGCGAUGAUGAUGAUGAGAGUAUGAAUCCCAGAGGAUUUUUGAAGAUGAUAGAAAAUUAAGAAAAUGUCUUUUUGAGCAUAACAAAAAGCGUCCAAAAAAAGCUGUAAGUGUAAGGAUACAAUCAAAAACAGAGGAGAACGAGAGAGAGAGAGAGAGAAUGAAGAUAGUAUGAUUGGAAAAGGAAAGAUUGAAAAAUCGUGCGUGAGAGAGAGAGAGAAUGAGGAGAAACGAUGGAGUGCAAUUUUUAAGAGAAGAGAUAAAGAACGUAAAGAGAAAAGGGAGAAAGAGAAAGAGAGAAAGAAAAAAAAAUGAUAGGAGUUGUCGUUCAGUAUAUUACAAUACAAAGCAAAAGAUAAGAUACAGAUAAAAAUGUGUAUGCUCGAAUGGUUUCUCCAUAAAAAUGAAUAAUUCCAAAUAUUCGAAUUUGGCACAAUUAUUAAUCACGUGAAAGACAAAGAAAGUGACGUGACAAAUUUCAAAUAUAUAUAUAUAUAUACACAUACAUAUAUAUAUAUAUCAUCGUUCGAUGUUGCUGAUGGUUUAAGAGUUAACGUCUCCUUCGUAAAAGCGUUCUGUGAUGUGUUGUGUUGUGUUGUAUCGUAAAACAAAGAAGAAAUCAAAAGGCAAGAAUUUUUAUCUAGCCUUUAUAUACACAACUUUAACAACGUUUCUUGUUCGUAAGUCACGUUGUUCGAGAUGAGAUAGAUAUAGAUAGAUAGAUAAGAUAGCUAGAGGAUACAUUGAUAGAUCGAAGAAGCAAAGCAACAGCAGGAACAACAACAGCAACCAACAACAACGCAGUAGUACGGAUUGGGAGAAUGAAAGAAAUAAAGAGACGUGGGAGAAUAUCUUUCGAGGCAUUGGAGAUUAGAGAGUGAGAGAAAGACGGAGAAAAGAGAAAGUCCGUAAAAGCAAGGCGACGACAACGAUCGGCUUUUCGAAUCGUCGUUGUCGUUCUACGAUAACACGACGACGAAGUAAAUAAUAUUUUUCCCUUUUUGGAUGUAUGCCUGCUGCGCAAGUUUACGGAGAAGAAGAAGUUUUAAAGAAGAAUGCAGAGAAAGGAUAAGAAAAAACCUAGUAGAAGAAAUAGAAGAAAAGAAGGAGCUUUUUCAUUCCUUUCCCAAUAUCGUAAUUUCAUCCAUUUCAUUUUUGUUCAAUUCUAUUCUAUAUCCCUCUUUCCCUCCUUUCUAUUAUCCCGUUUACCUGCUUUCCCUAACAACACAAAAACUCUGUCCGUCCUUAACGAUCAAAGAUCUCCUAAAAUUAUCUUGGAUCGUCUAACGUAUUUCUACAAAAAAUAAUUUCGUUUUUAUGUCCUUUUCCUAAUAUAUAUAUAUAUCCCAUUUUGAUGUUCACAACCAUUCUAUAUUAUGAAAUCCCUCUAUUUUUCUUUAGGGCCCUUUUUAGGGCCCGCAAAUGAUCAAUAAACGCAAAGGUACGAGUUUACGGUUCACAUUCCAUAAUGCAAAGAAGAAUGAAGAUUCUGUCCUUUUCAGGACAAUAAAUAUAUUUAUAGAGGGAAAAGGUCCUUCAAAAUCUGUCCUUUUUAGGACAAAAAAAAGGAUAUUUUAGAUAUCUUAAGAAUUAUAAUUUCAGAAUUUAGAAUAGAAGAAAGAAAAUUCCCUUUCGGUACUAACUUUUACUUUUCUAAUUGCUGGAAAAACCGGAAAACGAAAAUAAAAGUUAUUACAAGGAUAAGUAUCUUCUUUGACAUAGAAAAAUGGGUCCUUUUAUAAGGUAAGCAGUUAAGGUCACUUUAUAAGGUCGCAUUUGAAAUAUAAGUUCGUUAAAUGAAUUUUGUUGUCCUUUUAAUGUAGUUUUUAAAAUUUGUUUUAACUGUAUAAUAAUAUUGUUCUAACAGGACGGAUAUAUUAUGUUCUAAUUUAUUAACACAGCUGAGAGGAUUCGAAAUAUGAGUUGUCACAUUAUCAAGGUCAAAUGAGAAAAGAUUAUCAAUAGAUGUCUCUAGAACAUGAAACAGAUAAAAGAACUUGUUUAAUCGCACGAGGUAACUUACAAUCAACAUCAGUGAAUUAUACAAUAAGUAAUUCGUAAAAAUUCGUUUAAUAAACUUUUAAGUUUAUAAAAGAAACUCUUUAUCUUUAUCAGAUACAUAUUUGCAUUGUUCAAGACUGAAUAACAUUACAAAUGUCUAUGUAUUUUGUAAAGAAAAAUAAAAAGAAAUAAAUAAAAAGAAGUCCUCGAAAAAAAUCAAAUGCCUAUGUUCAACAAGGAAGAUAUAACAAAGGUUGCGUGGGCCUUGUUGGUUGUUUAUGAUAACACCUUUAAUCGCACAAGAUAUCAACAAGCAAUGUCAUUGAAGAACGCAAUAAGUAAUUUUAACAAAUCAAACUAGUAGAUUUGUCAAGCUUAUCAGUUAUUUUCGUCUAGAAGACGCAAUAACAUAACACAAUAACGUAUUAUAAACAAGAAUCUUCGACGAUGUUAAGUAUCUACGUUAAAUUAGGAAGAUUAUAAAACAAAGAUAAUAUGAGCCUUGUUUAUAUUAUAUCUAUGUAUAUGUUAUUGAUAUAAAAGGAAAUAUACAUAAAUAUUAAGCAGAGACUCAAGAAGGAAGCCGGCGUUUGGCGAGUUGCCAAAAACUUGAUGAAAGAUCACUGAUGUUUGUUGAUUCGCAGUUCCUAUUUUUAUAAUAAUUUUUUCAUUUUAUUCAUGGUCGAUUUAAUGUAUAUAAAUAACGUAAAGUGUUUUUUUUGAUCGAUUGUAAUUUAUUUAUAAAAAUUAAAACAUUUAAUCGUUUGAUAUCGUGCAACAAUUGAGUAUUAUCGAUACUUUUAAUCCACAAUGAUGGAUAAGUGAUGCAUUAUCGCAAAUUUUUUUCUCCUAUCGUUCGCUUUUAUUUUAAACAUUUUAUUUGAAAUUGCUAAUAUAUUAAAGUCUGUUGCACAAAAUAUUAAGUUUCAAAACAUUAUAUUAUA